GUCAUCCACACCUCCAUCCUCUUCUCCUCUGUCCGUCCCUCAUCCCUCACUCCUGCGCUUCAUCUUCCGUUACCC